GAGUAACUAAUAGAAACUUGAAUGCCUGGAAAACUUGGGUUUUUUUUUGUGCUUGAAAUUGUUUGAAGAGUAAAUGAUAUGAGACGGCAUCCUGUCAAGGAAGUCUCAAUCUGAAUAAAGGCUUUAAUUUUUCCUCAGCUGGCCUCUUUCAAGCCCUAGAGCCGUUGGAGGGUUUUAGAGCUAGCGCUGUUUUGUCUCUGGCUCUAGGUGACAGAGAGCUUCCUGAGCAAAGAAGUCACCUACGUGGUUUCCAGCAGCAAGGAGGCCAAGCGGGACAAGGCCAGGGCUCGAACUGAGAAGUGGAGCAGCGUUACCUCAGAAGGUGCAAAAGCCAAGAGCCCGGGGCCUUCCACCUCCAAAGGGAGCCAUAGCAGACCUCAGCAGAAGCCACCAGACACCGUGCUGAUCAGCCGAGGAAGGGAACUGCUGCAGAAAGCCAUAAAGAACCAGGACACCUGCGGUGGCAGCGGUAUCCUCGCCAGCGCUCGUCUGUGGGGAGUCCAGAUC